AGUUUGGCGGUUCCGGUACCGCUCUCACAUUGGGGCGGGAUGUGGGAGCGGCUGAACUGCGCAGCAGAGGACUUUUAUUCUCGUCUCCUUCAGUGAGUCUAAUAGUAGAAAUAUAUAAGUGUAUGUAUAAUGUUGCUCGAUACCUGUUUUAACAGGCUGAUGUCCAAGUGCAGUUGAUCAGCAAAGGCCAACCAAACCCUUUGAAAAAUAUUCUAAAUGAAAAUGACAUAGUAUUCAUAGUGGAAAAAGUGCCUUUAGAAAAGGAAGAAACAAGUCAUAUUGAAGAACUUCAAUCUGAAGAAACUGCCAUAUCUGAUUUCUCUACUGGCGAAAAUGUUGGACCACUUGCUUUACCAGUUGGGAAGGCAAGGCAGUUAAUUGGACUUUACACCAUGGCUCACAAUCCUAAUAUGACCCAUUUGAAGAUUAAUCUGCCAGUUACUGCCCUUCCUCCCCUUUGGGUAAGAUGUGACAGUUCAGAUCCUGAAGGUACUUGUUGGCUAGGAGCUGAGCUUAUCACAACAAACAACAGCAUUACAGGAAUUGUCUUAUAUGUGGUCAGUUGUAAAGGUGAGUGCUCUCUCUAGAGAGUGUGUGUGUGUAUUUAUUCAUUUGUAUAGU
rnacentral:lncRNA from 1 species